rnacentral:misc_RNA from 1 species
UCUCGGCUUAUCACCGGCAGUUCAAACCCAGGUAAGGUUCUUCGCGUUGCGUCGAAUUAAACCACAUGCUCCACCGCUUGUGCGGGCCCCCGUCAAUUCCUUUGAGUUUUAGCCUUGCGGCCGUACUUCCCAGGCGGGGCACUUAAUGCGUUAGCUACGGCACGGAGCCCGUCGAUCGAGCCCCACACCUAGUGCCCAACGUUUACGGCGUGGACUAC